rnacentral:rRNA from 1 species
GACGAACGCUGGCGGCGUGCCUAAUACAUGCAAGUCGAGCGCUGAAGGCUGGUACUCGUACUAACCGGAUGAGCAGCGAACGGGUGAGUCACGCGUGGGGAAUCUGCCAUUGAGCGGGGGACAACAGUAGGAAACGAAUGCUAAUACCGCAUAAAAACUUUAAAGACAAGUUUUAAGAUUGAUAGAGGCAAAUGCAUAGCUCAAAGCUGAUCCCGCGUUGUAUUAGCUAGUUGGUGAGGUAAAGGCCCACCAGGGCGAUGAUACAUAGCCGACCGGGGAGGCGGGUCGGCCACCUUGGGACGUGGACACGGCCCAAACUCCUGCGGGAGGCAGCAGUAGGGAACCGUCGGCAAUGGUCGAAAGUCUGACCGAGCGGCGCCGCGUGAGUUAAGAAGGUUUUCGGAUCGGGAAUCUCGGUUUGUAGUGAAGAACGUUGUUGGCAGUGGAAAGCGCAUCAAGUGACGGUAACUACCCAGAAAGCGACGGCUAACUACGUG